CGCUUUUUGCUGUUUGACACAUGAAAAGUAACGCCUGCUCAAUGAUUUAAGGAUUAAAUAGCCGCAGUACCCUGACUGUGCAAAGGUAGCAUAAUCAUUUGCCCUGUAAUUGAGGGCUGGUAUGAAUGGCGAGACGAGAGUUAAGCUGUCUUUUUAUUUUUAAUUAUAAAUUAAUUUUUAUGUAAAGAAGCAUAAAUUAUUAAAAGGGACGAGAAGACCCUAUUGAGCUUUGAGCUUAGAUACUAGUAGGAUUAAGAUAUACUUUAGACUUUAUCUGGUAGAGGUUUUAGUUGGGGCAACUGAGGAAUAUAGAAGAAUUUCCUUGAUACUUAUUAAAAUUAUAAUUAAAUGACCCGCUAUAUAUUGUGGUUAGGAGAUAUAGCUACCAUAGGGAUAACAGCGUAAUUUUUUCUGAGAGUUCUAAUCGAAGAAGGAGAUUGCGACCUCGAUGUUGGACUAAGAGUUCUUAGGGGAGUAGGCAUUCCUAAAGUAAGUCUGUUCGACUUUUAAAAUCUU
rnacentral:rRNA from 1 species